AUUGAACGCUGGCGGCAGGCCUAACACAUGCAAGUCGAGCGGAGCGGCGGACGGGGGAGUACUGCCUAGGAAUCUGCCUGGUAGUGGGGGAUAACGUCCGGAAACGGGCGCUAAUACCGCAUACUAUCAGAUGAGCCUAGGUCGGAUUAGCUAGUUGGUGGGGUAAAGGCCUACCAAGGCGACGAUCCGUAACUGGUCUGAGAGGAUGAUCAGUCACACUGGAACUGAGACACGGUCCAGACUCCUACGGGAGGCAGCAUUGGGGAAUAUUGGACAAUGGGCGAAAGCCUGAUCCAGCCUUGCCGCGUGUGUGAAGAAGGUCUUCGGAUUGUAAAGCACUUUAAGUGGAGAGGCGUUUCCGCCAGAAUAAGCACCGGCUAACUGCGUGUCAGCAGCCGCGGUAAUUC
rnacentral:rRNA from 1 species